AUGAUCAGGUGGCUAGUUCUUGCCAUGCUGCUUCCAGAACCCAGAAACCAAGUUCUCCAGGAGACGGGUAGAGGGAAGGCUGGCUCAAAGCCCCAAGAUAGACACGAAGGGUGCUAUGCACUUGAGGGACCAGAACAGGGUGGGUCCAAGAGGGAGGGUCCAGAGGAGAUGGACGCCAGCCCUCAGUUGGAAAAGGGCUGUGGACUAAGUUCCGAGAGGGACCAAAUUCUUACCCAACUUGGCCGCUGGGCCAACCCAAACCUGCCUUGAGUUAGAAGUCGUUGACUGUCAUUUUUCCAGAUCAUAUCAAGGACAACAAGGUAAGAAUGGGGUACUUUAUAAGCUCUGCCAAGCAAUAAUUAGUGGCUAUACUCUCCAAGAAAUCUAACCUAUGGUUGCUCGAUUAUUUCUGUAUUUGUGUCUGUGUGUGUGUUUUCCUUUUGAAAAUGUUAAUGGAGGCCUUGGCUAGACUCGUACUUAAGGAGGGUCAAGAGAGUCUAUGCAUUGAUGCUGAUGGGAGGCGAAAUCUGGGUGCUCAUAGCCCUUAGGUAAAGGAGAACCAUGUUCUCAGCAUAUCUGUCCAGCGCACACAAGAUUGAAAUUGUAAUUGCAGAGAAAGCAACUGAUUAAAAGUUUGUAAAAUUGUCUCUAACAACUUGAAGUCUGGAGACAAGCCAAUGCUCUUAAAGAUAAGUGGGUCAGGCUGUUGGCAGAAAUCUAAUAUCCCAUUUUUUUCUUAUAGUUUUCGAGUUCAAUAGUCACUGAAAUGAUAGUUGGCAAUUUUUUCUGUGCCUGGCGCUCUUCUAAAACCCUUUAAAGGGAUUGUCUCAUUACAUCUUCAUUUACUCUUCAUCAUCUGGAGGGAGCCACUAUUUUUCUUUUUUUUUUGAAAUGGCUGAACCUUCGGCAUAUGGAAGUUCCUGGGCUGGGGAUCGAACCCACGCCUCUGCAGUAAGCAGAGCCACUGCAGUCGAUUCUUAACCUACUGUACCAUGGUAGGAACUCUGAGCCACUAUUCUGACCACAGUUUUACAUACGAGGAAACUGAGGCCCAAAGAGAGUGUGUAGUUUGCUCAGACUGAGAGCUGACUGACUCCAGAUGCUACAUUCUUUCCCAUAAGCAUUGGAGACCCAGGGGUGAUUGUCAUGUGGUGCCAUAGUAGGUCAGCUCAGUGUCAGAGCCGUGGGGGACAUCAUGGUGUCUGAAGGCAAUCACCUGUGGUCCAGAGCUAACAACCAACAAGUGAUAGAACUUUGAACUUUUCAGCUU
rnacentral:lncRNA from 1 species